rnacentral:lncRNA from 1 species
GUCUUCUGACACAGGCAUCUCACAACACCAGUGCAGCCGGACCGUUGUCUGGUAGGUCUCUGUGCACCCAGGAGGACCUGGGCCUGCGAGAAGUCUGGGGCCCACUGCUGGGUAUGCUCGUUUCUUGAGCAUCCGAGUCACCUUUACAGUCUGCGAUGAUUGACGAGGUCAAACAGGACUCACUUGCAUUGCCGGGUCUCUGUGGCGACAGGGAGGACUUGGAGGAGAGGUGCCCGAUGAGCUCCCAGUCAUGUGGUUCAGGGCGGGCUCUGGAAGACUCACAGAGGAGACUCCUCCGAGAAACCAAGAAGGUUUCUGUCCAAGUCGGGAUCUGCUCUGCUCAGGAUGCUCCUCCAACACACACAGUGAAAAACUGAGCACCUAGAGAGCAACACCAAAAACCCAUGGCCAAUAAUGGAGAGCCAAAUCAGGAGAGCAUUCAGCAAAGCAAUUCUUGCUGUAGAAGGAACAGCACAAAAAGCUGGAAGGAAACUGAGGCAUGCGUGAAAGAUAACUUGUCAGUGUUUGCAGUCUACUGAGAUCCCCGCUGCAAGAAAAGGCAGGAUUUCCACUUGCUUCUUGGCCCGCCUCUGUUGUCCAGAAUCCAGGACAGGUGACAAGAGAAGCAGAUGUGAUCUGCACAAGCUGGCUCAGCUGGGUUGGGAGUUGCUCUUCCUGGACAGGCCGGGAAGGGUGCUGGAGGGGAGGGAGGAGGAGAGAGGUUUUAGGGGAGGGGUGCUGAGCAG